rnacentral:rRNA from 1 species
UACGAAGGGGGCUAGCGUUGUUCGGAUUUACUGGGCGUAAAGCGCACGUAGGCGGACUUUUAAGUCAGGGGUGAAAUCCCGGGGCUCAACCCCGGAACUGCCUUUGAUACUGGAAGUCUUGAGUUCGAGAGAGGUGAGUGGAAUUCCGAGUGUAGAGGUGAAAUUCGUAGAUAUUCGGAAGAACACCAGUGGCGAAGGCGACUCGCUGGACAAGUAUUGACGCUGAGGUGCGAAAGCGUGGGGAGCAAACAGG